rnacentral:lncRNA from 1 species
AAGUUAAUUAGAGUAAUGAUAAUUAAGAGUUAAGACGUACAACAAUCUAGCUUAUAUAUAGAAGACAUACUGUGGUUUUUAUGAUGAGUAAGAUCUUGGAGGCCAUAUACAUUCACCAAGUAAUCUAGAUGCAUUCUCUUUUACAUAAGUGAUAUGGCUAAGACUUUUGCUUCUAUUAAAAGGAAUCAAGGAGGAAUAUGUAAUGUGCAUAUAU